CGACUCUGGUAUGUUUGAAGAGUCAAAAUCUAUCCUGGCCCCGGGUGAGUCGAGAGAAACCAUAGGACCAUAGCACUCACCCACCUCCACAGAGGCGAAGACCAGUGGACGAGGCCUUCCACCGCUCUCCACUCCGGUGCGUAUAUCACUGGCUCGGUGAUAUUGGGCCCAGGAUUGAGUUGUACAUCCCCGGAGAGCAGGAGGGUAGUGAACAGGUACCAUGAAGAAACCCAUAGUGGCGUGUCUGGUGGGAUAUGUAUGUCUAGAAGAGAAGUAGUCAAUUUCCUCUCAACCCUCAACCAUGAAAGACUCAUGUAUGUUGUUGAUGUUAGUUCUUUGUGCGCAGUUAAGGGCAAGGCGUCAUGCUUUGUUUUGAGCCAGCUGCAGUUUUGAAGGUCAUUCUUUACUGCACCUGACCAUCUUACCUGACAGUGUCACAUCUGCUCCUGCAACGCCCUCUACUGCUCAUCAUGUGGUGCCUUGACCUACCGCCUCCCCAAGUGCUCUUUCCCUCUCUCUCUCUCUCUGUAUGUUUGUGUGUGUGUGAGUGUGAUUGUGUGGGCGGAGACAGGUGUGCUGGAGUCAGAGCAGAUCCCCACCAGCUGCAACCUGUUCCAUAACCAAGACCUCUACUAAUACUCAGCUCUGCCACUUCCACGCUGCCAGAUCAUAAUCUCUGCUCAUUCUGCCCGCUCUGACUCUGGUCCCAGUCUCCAGUCCCACGUCUCGUCUUCCUGGAUUCCCCACUCUACUACUUCCUUGGAUUUCCCUCCGGACCUGCUUACCCUUUCCCAACCCCACUCGCUCCAGCCUCAGCCUCCGCACCUGGUUUCCAGCAACACGCCCGAGCUUCCCCUGACCUGCACUCCAGCUCUCCCUUGUUUCAAUAAAUACCUUGGUUACUUUA